GGGAGAGCAGAGCACAGCAGCCUGCCUUUUGGACCACCUUCUCUUAGGCACAUUUUCUAUGGGACCAGCUCCUGUCUGCCUCUCUUUUCCUAAUUUCGUCUGUUCAGCUUAAGAGAGAUUGAAGAAAAACUGAAAAAGUCCAUGGGGAACUUCUUCUUGUUGUGACAAUUGGAAAAGGCUGUGGAACUUGCACUUAGAUGAGAAGAUUGAUUCCAGGCCUUAAUUAACUUUCUGGACCAUGAGCCAUGCCUUCAUAGAACACAGAACUGAUCAGAUUUCCAGUGCUUGACCCACGGAGCAGUGAUGAAAUGCCAUUUUCUAUGAUGGGGAACCUGGAGACGGUUGGAGGUGGGGAAGAAGGCCAGUUUGGUUCUGCGCUUGUGGAGCUGAAGCUGCUUUGUCACCCCGGUGGAGCUGUCGAGAAGGCAGGUGAUGUGUGAGACUGUGCUUGGAACACAGAUCUGUCCCAGAAAGAUGCAUUUUGGAAAUUUCACCAUUUGCUAGAACAAGUUUUUCUUGACUCUGAAUGUCCCUUACCUAAAGAACAUUACCACUUCAGCUGCAAUGCAGGAUUCACAAAAGUGCCAAACACUUGUUCCACCAGCUUGGACUUUGAAUAAUAGGUGUCUGAAACCCCUUCAAAGUGGACGAGAGAGAGAGAGAGAGAGAGGGUGAAAGAGACCCUGACACAUACAAUUAACCAUCACCAUCGGACACUAGAGUCUACAGAGCUGGGGCA